rnacentral:rRNA from 1 species
UACGGAGGGUCCAAGCGUUAUCCGGAAUCAUUGGGUUUAAAGGGUCCGUAGGCGGCCUGGUAAGUCAGUGGUGAAAGCCCAUCGCUCAACGGUGGAACGGCCAUUGAUACUGCCAGGCUUGAAUUUCCAGGAAGCAACUAGAAUAUGUAGUGUAGCGGUGAAAUGCUUAGAGAUUACAUGGAAUACCAAUUGCGAAGGCAGGUUCGACUAAUGAAUUGAUCGCUGAUGGACGAAAGCGUGGGUAGCGAACAGG